rnacentral:rRNA from 1 species
UACGAAGGGGGCUAGCGUUGUUCGGAAUUACUGGGCGUAAAGCGCACGUAGGCGGAUCGAUCAGUCAGGGGUGAAAUCCCAGGGCUCAACCCUGGAACUGCCUUUGAUACUGUCGAUCUGGAGUAUGGAAGAGGUGAGUGGAAUUCCGAGUGUAGAGGUGAAAUUCGUAGAUAUUCGGAGGAACACCAGUGGCGAAGGCGGCUCACUGGCUCGAUACUGACGCUGAGGUGCGAAAGCGUGGGGAGCAAACAGG